rnacentral:rRNA from 1 species
GACGAACGCUGGCGGCGUGCUUAACACAUGCAAGUCGAACGGAAAGGCCCUGCUUUUGUGGGGUGCUCGAGUGGCGAACGGGUGAGUAACACGUGAGUAACCUGCCCUUGACUUUGGGAUAACUUCAGGAAACUGGGGCUAAUACCGGAUAGGAGCUCCUGCUGCAUGGUGGGGGUUGGAAAGUUUCGGCGGUUGGGGAUGGACUCGCGGCUUAUCAGCUUGUUGGUGGGGUAGUGGCUUACCAAGGCUUUGACGGGUAGCCGGCCUGUGAGGGUGACCGGCCACAUUGGGACUGAGAUACGGCCCAGACUCCUACGGGAGGCAGCAGUGGGGAAUAUUGCACAAUGGGCUGAAGCCUGAUGCAUCAACGCCGCGUGCGGGAUGACGGCCUUCGGGUUGUAAACCGCUUUCGCCUGUGACGAAGCGUGAGUGACGGUAAUGGGUAAAGAAGCACCGGCUAACUACGUG